UACGUAGGCAGCAAGCGUUGUUCGGAGUUACUGGGCGUAAAGGGUGUGUAGGCGGUUCCCUAAGUUUGGUGUGAAAUCUCCCGGCUCAACUGGGAGGGUGCGCCGAAAACUGGGGGGCUAGAGUACUGGAUGGGAGAGUGGAAUUCCUGGUGUAGCGGUGAAAUGCGUAGAUAUCAGGAGGAACACCCGUGGCGAAGGCGGCUCUCUGGGCCGAUACUGACGCUGAGGAGCGAAAGCGUGGGGAGCGAACAGG
rnacentral:rRNA from 1 species